UACGUAGGGACCUAGCGUUGUCCGGAAUCAUUGGGCGUAAAGCGCGCGUAGGCGGCCCGGUAAGUCCGUUGUAAAAGUCGAAGGCUCAACCUUCGAAAGCCGAUGGAUACUGCCGGGCUAGAGUCCGGAAGAGGCGAGUAGAAUUCCUGGUGUAGCGGUGGAAUGCGCAGAUAUCAGGAGGAAUACCCAUAGCGAGGGCAGCUCGCUGGGACGGUAGUGACGCUGAGGCGCGAAAGCGUGGGGAGCGAACAGG
rnacentral:rRNA from 1 species